GACGAACGCUGGCGGCGUGCUUAACACAUGCAAGUCGAACGAAGAGCGAUGGAAGCUUGCUUCUAUCAAUCUUAGUGGCGAACGGGUGAGUAACGCGUAAUCAACCUGCCCUUCAGAGGGGGACAACAGUUGGAAACGACUGCUAAUACCGCAUACGAUCUAAUCUCGGCAUCGAGGAUAGAUGAAAGGUGGCCUCUACAUGUAAGCUAUCACUGAAGGAGGGGAUUGCGUCUGAUUAGCUAGUUGGAGGUGUAACGGCCCACCAAGGCGAUGAUCAGUAGCCGGUCUGAGAGGAUGAACGGCCACAUUGGGACUGAGACACGGCCCAGACUCCUACGGGAGGCAGCAGUGGGGAAUCUUCCGCAAUGGACGAAAGUCUGACGGAGCAACGCCGCGUGAGUGAUGACGGCCUUCGGGUUGUAAAGCUCUGUUAAUCGGGACGAAAGGCCUUCUUGCGAAUAGUGAGAAGGAUUGACGGUACCGGAAUAGAAAGCCACGGCUAACUACGUG
rnacentral:rRNA from 1 species